rnacentral:rRNA from 1 species
AGGCUGCAACUCGCCUGCAUGAAGUUGGAAUUGCUAGUAAUCGCGAAUCAGAAUGUCGCGGUGAAUACGUUCCCGGGCCCUUGUACACACCGCCCGUCACACCAUGAGAGUCGAUAACACCCGAAGCCUGUGAGCUAACCUUUUAGGAGGCAGCAGUCGAAGGUGGGGUUGAUGAUUGGGGUGAAGUCGUAACAAGGUAUC